GCUCAUAUUUCCUCCCUUCGUUCUCGUUCCCGGCGAUUUACAUCUCUCCCCCCUCUCUCUCUCCCGCCGAUACGAUCCGAUACUCGGAAACCGAUACAACCGUCUCUCUUUCUCUCAUGGUCUUUUCGGUCGCGUCCAAGACCGAAACGCUACCGAUACAGACCAUGCCCUCGACGUCAAAACCACACCCUCCGCUCCACAACUUCUCCCUCCCGUUCUUGAAAUGGGGCAACCAACGCCUCCUACGCUGCAUGAAAUCCAAUCCCAAUCGUCCAAUACCUGCCGUAUCUCCCGACCGCAGAUCGCCGCCCUCUGAUGCUGAAUCCGUAGAUCACACCUCCCCAAACCGCUCCAGCAGCUUCCACAAACCUUCCACCCCUUCUGCUCACGAGAAAUUACGAGAUCUCCCAACCGACGACGGGAUCGAAAAGAUCAGAGCAAAGCUCAUGGAUCAUCUACGGACGGCGGCCGACCGGAUCAGGUACAAGGUGCCGGAAGAUGGAGAGGAGGAAUCGACGUCGGCGGCAGCGGCAGCGGCAGCGGCGUCGGCAUCGGCGCUCCGGCCGUGGAAUCUGAGGACGAGGAGGGCGGCUUGCAAGGCUCCAGUGGAGAUCGGCAGCCGCAGUGGAGGUUCCCUGCGGUUGAGAAGUUUGGCGACGGCGGGUGCAGUGCAGGAUGUAGAGAAGAAGAAGGAAAAGGAGAGGAGGAAGUUCUCGAUCUCACUGUCUAGAGACGAGAUCGAAGAGGAUUUCUUUGUUAUAACAGGUUCCAAGCCAGCGCGGAGGCCGAAGAAGAGAGCUAAGAUCGUACAGCGGCAACUUGAUGGGGUUUUCCCUGGUUUUUGGUUGUCAGAGAUCACGGCAGACACAUAUAGAGUCCCCGAUUUGCAUGAACCUGGGCAGAUACAAACAUGAUGCCGACGGCGACUCUUGAAAUUGUGAGAUUUUUCUGCGGGCUGACUAUUACAGCAGUGUUUGACCUCAAUCCGCGAGAGGAAGAUUGUUGGGCUUCUUCGGCUCAGCAUCAGGUUCAAAUCUUUCGACCAGAGGCAGCUCCUUUCUCUUAACAUUAUAUGGCUGCAAACGUUUCAAUCAUGAGAAGUUAUAUGCAUCCAUGUAGUGUAGUACAGGUGUGGGAUCCCCUGUUGGUCUGGUGAGCCACACUGUGGAUAGACCAUGUCCAAACAUGGAGAUGGUGAUCCAAUCUUUUUGGCAGUUUUCUGUUGGAUGGUGGGCUGUUUUAUGCUUGUUUUCUUCUUAACCGUCGAUUUGCAGGUCACACAUUGAAUAUAGAUUAAUCUUGGCCUUGCAAUUUGUAGCCUGCAAAAGAUUGUUAAGAAUAGGAAUAUAAGCAUCGCCACUGGUCCACAAUCAAUUGAACAAAAAAAUUGGCGGCUAGGAUCUUCUGAUCUGGGUUAUCUUCGGGUCACUGUCCAUUGACAGUGGGUCUCAUAAGAUCAAUGACCCAGAUCACUAAAGUGUCAGCCCAACUCGACACUUUAGUUAUCCUGGGAGAAAAACUCUGCUAAAAUUACACCGCACAGAUCAUGUUUCCCAUUCUAGAAGUUUUACUUGUUUGACUUUGUUUGAUAAUCUGACAAUCAGAAUGGUGGACAUUUAUUUGAAUGGUUAAAAAUGAAAAAUAUCCAAUGAUUUUGAGUUAAAAAUAUUACGCCUUUAAAUUUUCUGAGUGCCUGCGUAUGAAGCAUCAUAAGCUUGCCUGAGUAUCAAACUCCCCCCUAUUUGGUGGAAGAAUUAUACGGUCCUAGCGCUGCUGAGGACCUGCAUAAUGCACAGCCCUUGUGGUCUGCAAACAGAUGGUCAAGCUGAGAAAAUAG